UACGUAGGGGGCAAGCGUUGUCCGGAAUUAUUGGGCGUAAAGCGCGCGCAGGCGGCAGGGAAAGUCUUGUGUCAAAGACCGGAGCUCAACUCCGGGCUGCAUGAGAAACUGUCCAGCUUGAGUGUAGGAGAGGGAAGUGGAAUUCCACGUGUAGCGGUGAAAUGCGUAGAGAUGUGGAGGAACACCAGUGGCGAAGGCGACUUUCUGGCCUAUAACUGACGCUGAGGCGCGAAAGCGUGGGGAGCAAACAGG
rnacentral:rRNA from 1 species